rnacentral:rRNA from 1 species
GCCGGAGGAGGCAAUCGUUAUCCGGAAUUAUUGGGCGUAAAGGGUACGUAGGCGGCUGGUCAAGUCUGGGGUUAAAGGCCACAGCUCAACUGUGGGAAGGCCCUGGAAACUGACUGGCUAGAGUGAGGUAGGGGUUGCGGGAAUUCCCGGUGUAGCGGUGAAAUGCGUAGAGAUCGGGAAGAACACCUGAGGCGGAAGCGCGCAACUGGGCCUCAACUGACGCUGAGGUACGAAAGCUAGGGGAGCGAAUGGG